GUCUCUAAACGUUGGUUUUAACAUUGAAUGCUUGCAUGUUGGAGGAGGCAAGGAAAGCCUUGUGAUUGUCUCGGAGGAGCUAAACGCCUAGCCUAGUGUUCAUAUCAUCAGAUGGGCUGCAUGCAUUCUUUUUAUGUUUUAUGUUUCAUUUAUUCAUACCUCAAAAAUAGACUAAGCUCAUUAUGAUGCUCAAGGGUAAUGAGGUUAUCACAAUUUUGGACACAAUUCGAUCAUGAAAUAAUCCACAAUGAAAAUUAAAAUGACCACUUUCAUUGCAAAGUUCACAAGGAGGGCGAGAAAUAUUAAGUCUUUCAGCACAAACAUAUAGCCUCUCUUGCAACCAUUUAGUUUCUAAAUACUUACGCGUCUUAUAAAAUUUACCUUCCCAUUUAGGCAUGUCUUCACAAACUCUUUGCACUCCAUAAAAAUUAACAUGCUUAUAAGAAAUCUUUUUAUCAUGACUAGUGCAAUCAUCAUUAGUACUACUACUAGUCAUCAACCCGUGUGUCCGCAGGGUCUAGUGCAUAGUACAUAUGAAUUCAUAUGAGUGCACUUCCUGUUUGAUAUGGAUAUACCCUGAAAUUGUGGCUCAUGCUGUCAUGACCAGUUUUAUAUUAGUAUAAUAUUUCUAUUCAGGUUUGUGCCAUAAAUUGUUUUGUGGCACCAUUGUAUUGGAUGUUAUACAUCAGUAGUAGGACGUCACUGUCAUCUCAAUCCACAUGUUCUCUCUCCCGCUCUCUAUCAAGUCACACUUUCUUUCUCACACUUAGCAUCUCAGUCACAAUAUAUGUGUCUAUGUGUGUCUAUUUCACACUCACUCACCUAUCUUUAUCUCCAACUUAUCACCAGCCUACAGGUCACGUGUUAGUCACUACUACAUGCGAGUAAGUCACGUGCCCCACAAGAUGCAACGGCCCACAAUUGAUUCAAACGUAUCCUUGUAUUUCUAGAAUGUCUAGAAGAUCGUUGAACUUUUUGAAGUUUUUUUAACUUGUGGAACAUUCUUUGUCUUCCGAAAAAAUAACAAUUAUUUAGGUAGGAGUCCCCUAUAAUUUAGGAACACAUAGCCCACCGGUGAAAUGUCCAAAAUUAUUUUGAAAAUGGCUUUGAACCCUUGCUCGUAAGUAUCGGAUAAAUACAUUUUUACUUAGAAAUAAUUGUUACGGAUGCCAUCCUUAUAUUUCUAAAUUUUGGAAGUUCAUAUGAGUUUUAGGCGUUAGUUUGUACUGAAUUCUUUGAAGAUCGACCAUAUUUUCUAAAAGUUCCAUUAAAUUAUUGGAAGCACAUAACUAAGAUUUUAAAUGUUAGUUUGUACUUUUCUAGAAAUUGACCCGACUAUCAAAAGACGGGUUGUAUGUUCUAUUAAGAAGAGUUAAAAUUUAUGGGAAGAAAAUUCUUGGACUACUGAAACCUCUUAAACUUUUUGGAGGUGUAACAUUUGCUAAUAUUUUUGAAAAUCGAUUUUAGUUUAGAAUAUGUUUAGCUGGUAUUCUAGCCUAUGAUUAGUAGGUUUAUCUAGCGACACCAAUGCCAUAAAUUUAUCUGGAAGUGAGCACACGCCUUCUACUGGUUACUAUGAACUUAUAUGUUUUUUGGAUUACACAAUAUUUUUAUGUGCAUAAUAAUUAAUAUCUUAAUUACUGAACUUCAAGUGCACACCUCAACUUCUAAAGUCGGUGGUUUUCUGGCGCACUUGCAUCCAUUUAGCAAUUUAUACGUAUUUUAAAAUCUCAGAUUUGGUUAUUACAUAUAUUUGCCAGUCAAAUUCAGAAUAUGUUUUUGCACUAAAUUAUUUACAUUUUAAGAAAACAGUAAAUGCGUGCAUACAUGAAUUGUUAUUUAUAAAUGUGAUUUAUGGACGGGAUUGGUAUUGUAUGCAUCCAUACAUGCAUUUUUAUUGUCUGAGUGUUGUUGAAAGAUAAAGUGUACGAGUUGUGUUUUUGGAAGUGAGCAAUUACCUUUUUUUGUUGGGUAAACGGAUAAUUCGUUUGUUGUACCUACAUGAAAAUACAACAAUGCAAAAGAUUGUACGUUACUUUUAUAACAAAGGAACACAAAUACAUUUAUCUAUGAGAUAUCUCAAGCUCCGUUAAACAUCCAUGUGUAAUUGUAUUAGUAUGUUUCAAAGGAAAAAUAAGUUAGCUUGUUAGGUGGUAUUAGUUUAUAGUACGUUUCCACACGAUAACAUGCAUGGACUCUCUUUUUUCCUAGGUGAAGAUGCAUGGACUUUCUAUGGCUUUCCUUUGUUUAUUGAGGCGUUCCUAAUUUUCUUCAACGUGAGGCAUCCUUUUUUAUUUUGAAGGAACGGCUCGAGGCUUUCCUCACGUGAGCAUUUUCUUUUUAUUCUGAGCAAACCGAUCGACCAUUUAUUUGUCUUGUAUAUCAUAAACAUUUGACGUGCUACAUGCCUUUUUUUGUGGGACGGGGC
rnacentral:lncRNA from 1 species